UACGUAGGGGGCCAGCGUUGUCCGGAAUCAUUGGGCGUAAAGCGCGUGUAGGCGGUCCGGUAAGUCCGCUGUGAAAGUCGAGGGCUCAACCCUCGAAUGCCGGUGGAUACUGUCGGGCUAGAGUGCGGAAGAGGCGAGUGGAAUUCCUGGUGUAGCGGUGAAAUGCGCAGAUAUCAGGAGGAACACCUAUUGCGAAGGCAGCUCGCUGGGACGUUACUGACGCUGAGACGCGAAGCGUGGGAGCAAACAGG
rnacentral:rRNA from 1 species